rnacentral:rRNA from 1 species
ACCAGACUCCUACGGGAGGCAGCAGUGGGGGAUAUUGCACAAUGGGGGGAACCCUGAUGCAGCGACGCCGCGUGGGUGAAGGAGUAUUUCGGUAUGUAAAGCCCUAUCGGCAGGGAAGAAACCAGACGGUACCUGACUAAGAAGCCCCGGCUAACUACGUGCCAGCAGCCGCGGUAAUACGUAGGGGGCAAGCGUUAUCCGGAUUUACUGGGUGUAAAGGGAGCGCAGACGGCAGUGCAAGUCUGGAGUGAAAGCCCACGGCCCAACCGUGGGACUGCUCUGGAAACUGUGCGGCUUGAGUGCGGGAGGGGCAGGCGGAAUUCCUAGUGUAGCGGUGAAAUGCGUAGAUAUUAGGAGGAACACCGGCGGCGAAGGCGGCCUGCUGGACAUUAACUGACGCUGAGGCGCGAAAGCGUGGGGAGCAAACAGGAUUAGAUACCCUCGUAC